rnacentral:misc_RNA from 1 species
GUGUGUGUGUGUGUGUGUGUGUGUUGUGUGAGUGGAUGUGUGUGUGUGGUUUGCGCAGCUCCAGCAUGCUGAGCGUACUGAGCAUACGCGGUGCACUGCGGCCGCUUGCGCAGCCGCACCGGCUGCUUGCGCAGCCGCACCGGCUGCUCGCACAGCCGAUGCACCCAAACAUCUCCGUCGCCAGUGUGCUCGUCUGCUGCGCAGACUCGACUCAAUAAUGAUCCUUCCGCAGGUUCACCUACGGAAA